GCAGCAGUAGAGAAUCUUCGGCAAUGGGGGGAACCCUGACCGAGCGAUACCGCGUGAAUGAAGACAUACUUCUAGUACGUAAAAUUCUUUUAUUUAGGAAGAACAUAUAGUAUAGGAAAUGAUAUUAUAGUGACGGUACUAAAUGAAUAAGCCCCGGCUAACUAUGUGCCAGCAGCCGCGGUAAUACAUAGGGGGCAAGCGUUAUCCGGAAUUAUUGGGCGUAAAGGGUGCGUAGGCGGUUUUUUAAGUUCAAGGUUUAAAUCCAAAGCUCAACUUUGGAACGCUUUGAAAACUGGGAGACUAGAGAUAGGUAGAGGCAAGUGGAAUUCCAUGUGUAGCGGUAAAAUGCGUAAAUAUAUGGAGGAACACCAGUGGCGAAGGCGGCUUGCUGGGCCUAAACUGACGCUGAGGCACGAAAGCGUGGGGAGCAAACAGGAUUAGAUACCCUGGUAGUCCACGCUGUAAACGAUGAGUACUAGGUGUCGGGGGAACUCGGUGCCGCAGUUAACGCAAUAAGUACUCCGCCUGAGUAGUACGUGCGCAAGCAUAAAACUCAAAUGANUUGACNG
rnacentral:rRNA from 1 species